UGGGGAAUCUUGCACAAUGGGGGCAACCCUGAUGCAGCGACGCCGCGUGAGCGAUGAAGCCCUUCGGGGCGUAAAGCUCUUUCGACCGGAACGAUAAUGACGGUACCGGGAGAAGAAGCUGCGGCUAACUACGUGCCAGCAGCCGCGGUAAUACGUAGGCAGCAAGCGUUGUUCGGAGUUACUGGGCGUAAAGAGUGCGUAGGCGGUUUUCUAAGUUCGGUGUGAAAUCUCCCGGCUUAACUGGGAGGGUGCGCCGAAGACUGGGGAGCUGGAGUGUGGGAAAGGCAGGCGGAAUUCCUGGUGUAGCGGUGAAAUGCGUAGAUAUCAGGAGGCACACCGGCGGUGUAGACGGCUUGCUAGACCAUAACUGACGCUGAGGCACGAAAGCGUGGGUAGCAAACA
rnacentral:rRNA from 1 species